rnacentral:lncRNA from 1 species
GGAGAGGCUUUUUAUGGAAACAGAUCUGUGACAUGGGAAUGAGUGUCAUGGAUGAUUCUACAAUGUGUUGGGGCUCAGAGACCUGGGAGAUGCUGCUAUGAGGUGUUGAUGAAUGAGUUGAGUCUUGAAGCAAGAUUUCUCAAGUGAGAGGAAGAGAGCACCUACAAUGCUAGCAUGGAGUCUCCUCCAGCAGGAGAUUGUCUGCCUAAUGGAACAGGCAAUGAAGCCUGCAGAUAAUUCCUUAAAUUGAGUUUUUGACUGAGGACUAUGGAAGCUGUAGAGUCUUUGCAGGGAUUAGGAAUUCCAAGACUUUUGGAGGCUUUGCCCAUGGUUGCUGGAGCUACUCAUACUCAGAGCUGAAUGCUGCCCAGUGGCUGACGACUUCCCCUGAAGAUUCACCUGCAUCUUUGCAUCCUUUUCUAGGGACAGCUGCAGGAGGAGGACCCUCUCAUAUGGUCAGUGGAGCCAAAAGUUGAAGAAUUUUGUUGGAAAGUCAUUGAAGAAAAAGCCAUGUUUUCUUGACUUGUUGGUGAGAGUGCUGCCUGAAAUAUCUUGGAGUCAUGACAGGUGGGUCCCUGCUCUAUAGGGGUCAGUUUUCUCAUGGUCUUCUGAUUCUUUUUUCAUUCCAGAGGGCUGUGUUGGAACUGUGCCGCAUUAACCUGCCAGCAGCCUGGAGACAACUGCAGCCACUCAAACACUGGAGAAGCAAUGCUUUUAUUAGCAGCACAAACAGCCCUUUCAUAACAUGUCACCACUGAGAUUACGAAGACAGAAUAAAAGCAACAGAAAAAGGGAAUUUUCCAUAAAGAACACUUUAGGAGCUUUAUUACAAAGCAGAAACUUUAUUGCAGGAUGGGCAAGGAGACAUGUGUCCUAUAUUUACUACCAUUUCCAAUAUAAAUUUUGGUUUGGAGAGACAAUCUCGAAGAAACCAUUUUGCAACCUCAGCACACAAAACAUUGUUUGUGGCUCAGCCUCCAUCUGAAACUUCAUGUCCACCAUAAACUUUCUUGCCAAAUUCUAAUAGAAUGUUCCUUCUGAUACUGAGUCACAAUUGGACUGCCAGUUUUAUGCACAGGUCUUUGUUCACUUCGUGUGGGACACAGUACCAGAUAUUACAAGCAACUUAGAAGAAAUAUGAACUCUUAUUCUUGCCUCAAGAAAACAGUUGUCCAAGUGCUGAGAUGGGAACAAGAAAGAGCACAUUGGAGGAAUUGAAGAGUGUCCAAGUUGGGUAGUUCUGGAUCAAGGUACUCAUAGCGUAGCUGUCAAGAUGUCAUCUGGGGUGGAAGUCAUGAGAAGAUUUGAAUGGGUCAGGAGGGCCUGCUUCCAAGGUGGCUCACUCACAUGGCUGACAGGCUGGUGCUGGCUGUUGCUACAGCUAAUGCUGACCCAGUGAGGCUGAAUGAUGGCUCUCAAAUGCCAGAAAGCUUUCGAAAGGACAAAGAAGACUGGAAUGGAGAAGGUGCACGAGUGACUGCUGUCAGUCAGGCAAAUCAUAAAGGCCAGUGCUCCCCUUGUCCAGUUAGAGAACCAGGCCCUUUUGAAGGUGAACCUUCUGUGACUGUCCCUUUGCUUCCCUGAAAUGAAGUGUAUUUAGACCAUGUGCUUAUUUUUUACCUCCCCUUGUGUGCUCUG